AGUGAACGCUGGCGGUGGGCCUAACACAUGCAAGUCGAACGGCAGCGCAGUAAGGGCUUGCUCUUACGGGGUGCGAGUGGGGUACGGGUGAGGAAUGCAUCGUGAUCUACUUUUUGGGAGGGGAUAAGGUAGGGAAAGUUACUCUAAGACCGCAGACGAUCUACGGGGGAAAGCGGGGGAUCGUCUCACCUGGCGCGAUUGGAUGAGCCGAUGUCGGUUUAGCUGGUUGGCGGGGGAAAGGCCCACUAAGGCGACGAUCCGUAGCUCGUCUGAGAGGAUGGUCAGCCACACUGGAACUGAGACACGGUCCAGACUACUAAGGGAGGCAGCAGUGGGGAAUAUUGGACAAUGGGGGCAAGCAUGAUACAGCCAUACCGCGUGGGUGAAGAAGGCCUUGGGGUUGUAAAGCCCUUUUGUUGGGAAAGAAAAGCAUCAGGUUAAUACCAAGCUGUUCUGACGGUACCCAAAGAAUAAGCACCGGCUAACUUCGUG
rnacentral:rRNA from 1 species